CUCUAAAUUGAAUUAUAAAUAAACAAAUAAAAAUAGUAGAAUUGUUAAAAAAAAAUACUGUGGUGCUGGUUAGGGUUUUGGCCAACUUGACAUAGACCAUGGUCAUCUGGGACCCUCCAUCAGAUUAGCCUGUGGGUAGGACUAUGGGGCGUUUUAUUGACCGAUGGUUGAUGGGGGGCAGCCUGGAGGCGGUGCCACUCUGGGCAGGUGGUGGUGGGUUGUGUAAGAAGACUGAGUGAGCCAUGGGGAGCAAGCCAGUGAGCAGCGCCCCUGCAUGGCUCCUGCCUCGGCUUCCCUUGAUGGUGGACUAUACCCCGUAAGUCAAGCCCUUUCUUCCCCCAAGUUGUUGUUGACCAGUGUGUUAUCACAGCAACAGGAACCAAACUAAGUCAGAAAUUGAUAGCUGGUCACAGGGCAUCAUGGUGACAGGCCUGGCCGUCUUGUUUUGGGGAGCAUGUUGGGAGCGUGGAGGACUUUGGGCUGCUGAGUGUUCAACGCUGCUUUGUGGGAGCUUGGAAGGUAAGAGUGUUGAGGGAAAUGGGGGCAUCGGCCGCCCGGCCUGUGGAGUUUCAGAGGGAAGCAAAGCCUCCGCAGGAGUUUCAGAGGGAAGCAAAGCCUCCCCAGGGCCACUUGUAGGUCGGUUUGAAUAAUCCGUGGUUUCUGGUCCGCUGGCGCUGAGGGGGUCAGCUGGAACUAAUAAGAGACCAGAACCACUGAGGAGAACUCUUCUGGGAACUGUUUCCUCAGGGUCAGCACACAGACCCGGGGUUCAGAGAGGGCCAAGGCUGCAUCUCAAACUGGAAGUGAACUUGGGCACGGCGUAAGAGUCCCCUGUGUGGUACGUGACUUGGUGGCGUGAAAGGUCGUGGAGAUUAGCUGAGGCUCCACACUGUGUGAGGCCAGGAGCAGUAAUUGGUGAUGGCGGAGACUCCUGGGUAUGAAGGGGCCAAGGAGAGAAGCUGAGGAGGCACCAGGUGGCAGGGUGGGUCCCCGAAGAUGUCACGAGAGGCCACUGGUGUAGUGCAUAGCUGUCGUGUCGUGGAUAUUCCAGCCUUUUGGACGUUCCGGGACUGUGGGACAACCACCAGAAACAGGGCAGGCGUGGCGCGAGCCAGCCUGUAAGACCAGCUCUGCGUGCCGUGGAUGGCAGGGCCAGCAGAUCUGAGGCGUGGCGGGAGCUCAUUUCAGGGUCCUCGAUGGGCGCGUAUAGCCACGUCCAAACAAGGUGCACUGUCCAGCCGUUCGCAGUGAUGCUGAUUGCACACGUGAAGGCUUCACCCUCGAGGCCUACUGGCCUCUCGCUGCCGUCUCGGGAUUAGAUUGCAGCGUAUGACUUUGGAUAGCACGCGGCAAGCCGCCCACAGCUGUUUUCAAUAAAGGAGCGUCCCGUGGAGACUCGCGAUAUCUGCGUUGCUGGAUGUUGGGCUUUUGCUUUGAUCUGAUCUAGCUGUGCUCCGCCUCCUUCUGGAACUAGCGAAGCAGCACAUGCAGAACACAUGGGGGCCUCGCUGGCCGUGGUCUGUGGUACAUCCUACCCACAGUGGAAACACCGGGUUGGCACAAGCGAAGACACCCACUUGAGUGGCCAGGCAAUCCCUGAGACCUGAAGUUUCCACCAGAGUGACGUCUUCCACUAAGAACAAAAUCAAAAUCAGUUUCAGAAAUAAUGUGGGCUUGUUUCCGAAGAAGCCGAAAGCUUAAAUAAUUUCAUUUAUUUGGGUUGUUGAAAUGUAUGUUUUUUCUGUUAAAACAAAUGAUUGGAUUUCCUAAACUACCUUCUAAAGGGAACCAUUUUCUCCCGUCUCCAGGUUCCUUUUUUUUUUCUUCUUUGUUAUCUCCUGAGUGACUCAUAUCCCAAGUUCCUGUGCUUUCCAUUUACUUAUAUGCGAUGCCGAAAUAUACUAUGACAAGAGUGUCAUGAGGUCUAGAAAGUAAA